UACGUAGGUGGCAAGCGUUGUCCGGAUUUACUGGGCGUAAAGAGCGCGCAGGCGGUCGUUCAAGUCGAGUGUGAAAGCCCCCGGCUCAACUGGGGAGGGUCACUCGAUACUGAUCGACUCGAAGGCAGGAGAGGGUAGUGGAAUUCCCGGUGUAGCGGUGAAAUGCGUUGAUAUCGUGAGGAACACCGGAGGCGAAAGCGGCUCACUGGGGCUUAUCUGACGCGUGAGGCACGAAAGCUAGGGAGCAAACGGGA
rnacentral:rRNA from 1 species